rnacentral:lncRNA from 1 species
AUUUCCCUCCCAGCACAACAGCACUAUUUUGAAGUAAAUGCAAGAUAUCAGAUCACAUCAUUUGUAAACAUCUCAGUGUGUGUUUCUAAAAGAGAACUUGAACAAAAAAUACAAUCACAAUGCCAUUAUCUCAUCUAAAAGUAUUAACAAUAAUUCAUUAAAAGGCUCCAGUGUUGACUAUCCAGUCUUAAGUUGUGGUUUAACUACAAGGCCAUAAUUUUGUAGGCACAGUAUGAUUUUUUACAGAUGAAAAAAUAAAUCUAGCAACCCACUAAUCACAUCAUUUGUAUUCCAGCAUUACACUUCAAUCAUGCUCGUUUUGAUCAAUUGAGACAAUUUUGCAUGCAAGUUGGCCUUAUACUUCUCCAUGUGGCAUAGUAGGAGUGACAGUGUUCAGAAAGGCCAGGUUCCAGUUUUGGAUCCUGUGCUUAAGUGGAUCACUCAAACCCUUAACAGCCUUUGGUUUCCUUUAUAUAUGAAGGGGUUUGAAUUAUCAAUAAUUUAUCAUUGAAAAAUUUCAAAUUCUAGAACUUUCUGAAGACAGCAAUUUCAAAAUAUCUUCUCCUAAAGCCUAAAGUUAUUUUCUUUAAUAAGUAAAACUUCUUUAGUGGACAAACCUUUCUAGAUUUGAAGAGGUAAAAGUGUGGAUUUAAAAAGGAAUAAGAGGCAAAUGGUUUCAAAACAGCCCCUUCCUCCUGGAUGCGUUAUCUGUCCAUCCUCCAACCCCCAGUCCAUUUAUCCGUUCACGCAUCUGUGUGCCUACCUGUACCUCCGUAUCACGAUGCAGGUCUAAAGAUAAAGAAAUGAUUAUUUCUCACAGAACACACAACAGCCAAGCACGUAAAGCAUAA